UUUCCGUAGGUGAACCUGCGGAAGGAUCAUUACCACACCUAAAAAACUUUCCACGUGAACUGUCGUUAUUUGUUGUGUGUGUGCGCGUUGCUGGCGUGCGUUUGCUUACGCUUGUGUGUUUGCGAGUGCGUGGUGGCGGUGCGCGGACUGAACGAAGGUCGUGUUGCGUGUGUGUGCCUGCUGCACUGCUGACUUUGCAUUCAUUUGCAUGGUGUUGGCGGAGCGUUGGGUGCUGUGCGUGCGCGGCUGACUUAUUUUUUCAAACCCCAUACCUAAAUGACUGAUUAUACUGUGAGAACGAAAGUUCUUGCUUUGAACUAGAUAACAACUUUCAGCAGUGGAUGUCUAGGCUCGC
rnacentral:misc_RNA from 1 species